rnacentral:rRNA from 1 species
CCUACGGGAGGCAGCAGUAAGGGAUAUUGGUCAAUGGACGGAAGUCUGAACCAGCCAUGCCGCGUGCAGGAAGACGGCCCUAUGGGUUGUAAACUGCUUUUGCAGGGGAAUAAACCUCGAUACGUGUAUCGAGCUGAAUGUACUCUGAGAAUAAGGAUCGGCUAACUCCGUGCCAGCAGCCGCGGUAAUACGGAGGAUCCAAGCGUUAUCCGGAUUUAUUGGGUUUAAAGGGUGCGUAGGUGGCCUGUUAAGUCAGGGGUGAAAGACGGUAGCUUAACUAUCGCAGUGCCCUUGAUACUGAUGGGCUUGAAUAAACUAGAGGUAGGCGGAAUGUGACAAGUAGCGGUGAAAUGCAUAGAUAUGUCACAGAACACCAAUUGCGAAGGCAGCUUACUAUGGUUUUAUUGACACUGAGGCACGAAAGCGUGGGGAUCAAACAGGAUUAGAUACCCUGGUAGUCCACGCCCUAAACGAUGAAUACUCGAUGUUGGCGAUAUACGGUCAGCGUCUAAGCGAAAGCGUUAAGUAUUCCACCUGGGGAGUACGCCCGCAAGGGUGAAACUCAAAUGAAUUGACCGGNNGAGAGAGCGAGACGACGACGAGGGAGGAGG